rnacentral:rRNA from 1 species
UACGUAGGGUGCAAGCGUUGUCCGGAAUUAUUGGGCGUAAAGCGCUUGUAGGCGGUUUGUCGCGUCUGCUGUGAAAAUCCGGGGCUCAACUCCGGACUUGCAGUGGGUACGGGCAGGCUAGAGUGUGGUAGGGGAGACUGGAAUUCCUGGUGUAGCGGUGGAAUGCGCAGAUAUCAGGAGGAACACCGAUGGCGAAGGCAGGUCGCUGGGCCACUACUGACGCUGAGAAGCGAAAGCAUGGGGAGCGAACAGG